UNUGACUUGAGUGCAGAAGGGGAGAGUGGAAUUCCAUGUGUAGCGGUGAAAUGCGUAGAUAUAUGGAGGAACACCAGUGGCGAAAGCGGCUCUCUGNUCUGUCACUGACGCUGAGGCUNGAAAGCGUGGGUAGCGAACAGGAUUAGAUACCCUGGUAGUNCACGCCGUAAACGAUGAGUGCUAGGUGUUAGGCCCUUUCCGGGGCUUAGUGCCGGAGCUAACGCAAUAAGCACUCCGCCUGGGGAGUACGACCGCAAGGUUGAAACUCAAAGGAAUUGACGGGGGCCCGCACAAGCGGUGGAGCAUGUGGUUUAAUUCGAAGCAACGCGAAGAACCUUACCAGGUCUUGACAUCCCGAUGCUAUUCUUAGAGAUAGGAAGUUACUUCGGUACAUCGGAGACAGGUGGUGCAUGGUUGUCGUCAGCUCGUGUCGUGAGAUGUUGGGUUAAGUCCCGCAACGAGCGCAACCCUUAUUGUUAGUUGCCAUCAUUAAGUUGGGCACUCUAGCGAGACUGCCGGUAAUAAACCGGAGGAAGGUGGGGAUGACGUCAAAUCAUCAUGCCCCUUAUGACCUGGGCUACACACGUGCUACAAUGGUCGGUACAACGAGUUGCGAGCCGGUGACGGCAAGCUAAUCUCUGAAAGCCGAUCUCAGUUCGGAUUGGAGGCUGCAACUCGCCUCCAUGAAGUCGGAAUCGCUAGUAAUCGCGGAUCAGCACGCCGCGGUGAAUACGUUCCCGGGCCUUGUACACACCGCCCGUCACACCACAAGAGUUUGUAACACCCGAAGUCGGUGAGGUAACCUUUUAGGGGCCAGCCGC
rnacentral:rRNA from 1 species